CGAAACCUCACGCCCAGCAUCAUCACCAUCAUCCUCCUCCUCAUCCUCCUGUAGGACCCACCGCUAUGAUGCUGCAGAUCAUGAUCCCUCCAGUUGUAAUAAUGUAUUUUAGUGUGAUGGUCGGAGCUCAGUCGGAGGACAGACUGACCGAGAGAGCCUACGUGGUUCUGCAGAAGCAAAAUUUAGUCACUUUGGGGAGUGUCCUGGCCGUGCUGCUGCUGCUCAUGAUCAUCAUGGCUGUCUGCGUCUACAAACCGCUGGCUCGUCGCUGAAACUGUCCCGAAACCGUCACCGACAAACGGACAUGCCCGGUGCAAAGAGCCGCCUGCACCGAGGAGCCGAGUCCCGGUACCGGAGCCUCCUGCUGAGGGGAGCAGACCGGGGAGAGCUGAUCUCUGCCACCUAGCUGCCAGGAAGUCUGCACAGUCACUGUCAGCUGAUUAAUCUGUCAUGAGCUCAGGUAAGAAAACAGUGUAACUGUGCAGAGCUUGCCCAGCCUGAAUCCCUUCAACUGGGACAUAUUUGAAAGAGCAGAGACGAGUGCACUCGAGAGAAAGGUUGCGGAACAGAAAGUGGACCUCAAGAAGGCAGAAGAGCAAAAUGACGUUCAAGUGAGAACAAUCAGAUUGCUCUCUGAAGAACAUGCCUCAUGGGAAGCAAGGAUCGGACAGGUCUCUGAUCUCUCUGCUGAAAUGGACAAAAAGAUUGUAGACCUGUCCCACUUUCUCUAUUCAAAGAAAGAUAAAAAGAAAAAGAUCGUCGAGCAGCUAGAAUGUUCGACUAAACAGCUUGACAAUGAGAAGUCUGCGUUAAAGAAGAUGGAAGGCGUACUGCUAAAUUCCAGCAAUGAGCUUGAACAAGAGCGGGAUGUGGUCAAAUAGUUGGAUGAAGAACUGCGAAAUCUGAAAAAGAAGCUGCACCAAGAGAGGACCCUGGCAGAGAAGCUGGACCAAAGUGUACAACGUCUUACUGAGGAGGUCCACCAUGAGAAGACUGCGAGAAAACAGUUAUACAACCAUCUCAAGGAAGAAGUCGAGGUUGAAGUUGGUAUGCAGAUGGACCAGGAGACCCCAUCUGAUGCUGAAGAUGAGGUAACUCAGACACACCAUAAAAAAAAAUUGUCAGGUGUGCCAACCAUCUUCACAAGUCCUGGAUACAACAAAAAGCCAGGACCAUGAGGAAGAGACAGCCGAGGUGGUAGAAGAGGUUCCAGAGACAAACCAGGAUUCUCUUUGGAGUCGAACCUCCCAAUACUUGAGCUGGAAGACUGUUGGUGUGGUAGUUGGUCUAACAGUCGGUCUGUCUGUGGCCUUUACUUUCGUAGACCCACACCGUUUAAUGCUAGUGCACCACUUUAAAAAAAAAUUAUAUUCAAUUGCAAGUAAAUUUAAAGUAUUCACAGCUUAAUAUUCUGAUGCCAUGAUAAGAACUUUAAGAUCUAAAUAGCUGACUGUGUUAAGUUAAAUAAAUAAAUAUUUAAAAAUAAAGUUAGUAAUAAAUAAAAUAUUGCAAUAUUUUUUAAAAAUAAUUUAAAUAAUUAAAAUGAAUUUAAAAAAUGGUAAAAUUAAUAAACCUCUGUGUCACAUGUGUUGCAUAUAAUGUGUAUUCUAAAUAGCCACCUUUGCAAUUAAUUAAUAUUCAUUGUCAUUGAAAUUAAUUGCAAUUUGGAUUUAAAAUCUGCCUUCCCGGGAUCUUUCUGCAUGGAGUUUGCAUGUUCUCACUGUGCAUGCAUGGGUUUUCUCCAGGUUCUCCAGCUUCCUCCCACAGUCCAAAAACAGGCUGAGGUUAAUUGGUAACUCUAAAUUGCCCAUAGGUGUGAAUGCGAGUGUGACUGAUUGUAUAUGUAGCCCUGCGACAGACUGGCGACCUGUCCAGGGUGUCCCCUGCCUUCGCCCCAAGUCAGCUGGAAUAGACUGCCUUGUUGUCACUACAUAUGGCAAAACAACAAAUUUGUUUGACCGCUUAAAUCAGCAGGACAAGAUCUGUACGAGGAGCAUGAGCAAAAAGCCUCCUCCCACAGUCCAAAGAUAUGUUGAGGUUAAUUGGUGAUUGUAAAUUGUCCGCAGCUGUGAAUGUGAGUGUGUUUGGUUGUUUGUGUGUCCCCUGCCUUCGCCUUGAGUCGGUUGGGAUAGACUCCAGCCCUCGCUACCCUACAGAGCAUUAAGUGGAGUAUAGAAAAUGGAUCGAUAGUUAAUGUUGUAGACACUUACAGCUGCCUAUAGUUAGGAGGUUCCAAAAGUCUGUGCAGGUGGCCAGCAAUGUAUAGAGGGAAAUAUGACAAAUGAAAAUG